GAUGAACGCUGGCGGCAUGCCUAAUACAUGCAAGUCGAGCGAACAGACGAGGAGCUUGCUCCUCUGACGUUAGUGGCGGACGGGUGCGUAACCCGUGGAUAACCAACCUAUCAGAAUGGGAUAACUUCGGGACACCGGAGCUAAUACCGGAUAAUAUAUUGAACCGCAGGGUUCAAUUGUGACAGACGGUUUUGCUGUCACUUAUAGAUGGAACCGCGCCGCAUUAGCGAGUUGGUAAGGUAACGGCUAACAACGGCAACGAUGCGUAGCCUACCUAGGAGAUGGUCCGGCGACACUCGAACAGAGACACGGUCCAGACUCCGACUGGGAGCAGGAGUAGGGAACCAUGCGAAACAGGCGUAGGGCAGACGGAGCAACGCCGCAUGAGUUAUGAAGGUCUUCGGAUCUUAAAACUCUGUGAUUAGGGAAGGUCAAAUGUUUAAGUAACUAUGCACGUCUUGACGGUACCUAAUCAGAAAGCCACGGCUAACUACGUG
rnacentral:rRNA from 1 species